rnacentral:rRNA from 1 species
UACGUAGGGGGCAAGCGUUGUCCGGAAUCAUUGGGCGUAAAGCGCACGUAGGCGGCUUUGUAAGUCAGAGGUGAAAGCCUGGAGCUCAACUCCAGAACUGCCUUUGAGACUGCAUCGCUUGAAUCCAGGAGAGGUGAGUGGAAUUCCGAGUGUAGAGGUGAAAUUCGUAGAUAUUAGGAAGAACACCAGUGGCGAAGGCGGCUCACUGGACUGGUAUUGACGCUGAGGUGCGAAAGCGUGGGGAGCAAACAGG